rnacentral:rRNA from 1 species
GACGUAGGGCGCGAGCGUUGUCCGGAAUCACUGGGCGUAAAGGGUGCGUAGGCGGGUCUUUAAGUCAGGGGUGAAAUCCUGGAGCUCAACUCCAGAACUGCCUUUGAUACUGAAGAUCUUGAGUUCGGGAGAGGUGAGUGGAACUGCGAGUGUAGAGGUGAAAUUCGUAGAUAUUCGCAAGAACACCAGUGGCGAAGGCGGCUCACUGGCCCGAUACUGACGCUGAGGCACGAAAGCGUGGGGAGCAAACGGG